rnacentral:rRNA from 1 species
AGUGAACGCUGGCGGUAGGCCUAACACAUGCAAGUCGAACGGCAGCACAGUAAGAGCUUGCUCUUACGGGUGGCGAGUGGCGGACGGGUGAGGAAUACAUCGGAAUCUACUUUUUCGUGGGGAUAAACGAAGGGAAACUAACGCUAAUACCGCAUACAACCUACGGUUAAAAGCAGGGAACCUUCGAACUUUCCGCAAUUAAAUAAGCCGAUGUCGGAUUAGCUAGUUGGCGGGGUAAAGGCCCACCAAGGCGACGAUCCGUAGCUGGUCUGAGAGGAUGAUCAGCCACACUGGAACUGAGACACGGUCCAGACUCCUACGGGAGGCAGCAGUGGGGAAUAUUGGACAAUGGGCGCAAGCCUGAUCCAGCCAUACCGCGUGGGUGAAGAAGGCCUUCGGGUUGUAAAGCCCUUUUGUUGGGAAAGAAAAGCAGCAGGUUAAUACCCCGCUGUUCUGACGGUACCCAAAGAAUAAGCACCGGCUAACUUCGUG